CUACGUGCCAGCAGCCGCGGUAAUACGUAUGUCACAAGCGUUAUCCGGAUUUAUUGGGCGUAAAGCGCGUCUAGGUGGUUAUGUAAGUCUGAUGUGAAAAUGCAGGGUUCAACUCUGUAUUGCGUUGGAAGCUGCAUGACUAGAGUACUGGAGAGGUAAGCGGAACUACAAGUGUAGAGGUGAAAUUCGUAGAUAUUUGUAGGAAUGCCGAUGGGGAAGCCAGCUUACUGGACAGAUACUGACGCUAAAGCGCGAAAGCGUGGGUAGCAAACAGGAUUAGAUACCCUGGUAGUCCACGCCGUAAACGAUGAUUACUAGGUGUUGGGGGUCGAACCUCAGCGCCCAAGCUAACGCGAUAAGUAAUCCGCCUGGGGAGUACGUACGCAAGUAUGAAACUCAAAGGAAUUGACGGGGACCCGCACAAGCGGUGGAGCAUGUGGUUUAAUUCGACGCAACGCGAGGAACCUUACCAGCGUUUGACAUC
rnacentral:rRNA from 1 species